rnacentral:lncRNA from 1 species
AAAGGGAAGUCAGUGGAAAGGAGAUUUCGACUCACCAGUCGCUGGGCCACAGGUCUGCCACUGCCUGUUUUGGAUGGCAAUAAGAUUAUUGAUGGGCUGCUUAAACGCUGCUUAUGAGUUAUGGGUAACAUGAAAAUUUCAACCAGAAGGUGGUCUGCUAAUCUCGUUUUCUUGCUUAUUUCUUCAGGUUUUCACUUGCAAUUUGUUGAUGCAUUUACAGAUACAAUCUUACAAGGUCAAUCACUCAUAACCUCUCAGACCAUCAUAUCUGCUGGUGGUAACUUUGAAUUAGGAUUCUUUUCUCCUGGAAAGUCCACAAAAUAUUAUGUGGGGAUAUGGUACAAGAAAAUCUCAGAGCAAACCAUUGUGUGGGUAGCUAACCGAGACUAUCCAUUCACAAAUCCGUCCGUGGUUCUUACUGUCAGCACAGAUGGCAACCUCGAGAUUUUGGAGGGGAAGUUUUCGUACAAGGUGACAAGCAUAUCAUCAAGCAGCAACACUAGUGCCACCCUGUUGGAUUCUGGAAAUCUUGUUUUGAGAAAUAAGAGGUCAGAUGUCUUAUGGGAGAGCUUUGACUAUCCAUCGGACACGCUCCUGCCCGGAAUGAAACUUGGAUAUGACAAAAGGGCUGGAAAAACAUGGUCAAUGGUGUCAUGGAAGAGCGCAGAAGAUCCCAGUCCAGGAGAUUUCUCCGUGCAGGUCGACCCUAAUGGAACUAGCCAGUUUUUUAGCCAGCAAGGACCCAACAGGUAUUGGACUAGUGGGGUGUGGGAUGGGCAGAUUUUCGGCCAGGUUCCUGAGAUGCGUUUCUUCUAUAUGUAUAAGUACAAUACAUCCUUUAAUGAGAAUGAAAGCUAUUUUACUUACUCUCUUAAUAAUCCCUCCAUUCUGAGCAGAGUGGUGCUAGAUGUGUCGGGCCAGAUUAGGCAUCUGAAUUGUCAAGAAGGCACACAUGAAUGGGAUUUAUCUUGGCUUCAUCCAAGAACACAGUGUGAGGUUUAUGUCUAUUGUGGGCCUUUCGGAAUCUGCACUGGGGAUUCUGUUGAAUUUUGUGAAUGCUUGCCAGGUUUUGAACCUCGCUUCCUUGAAGACUGGAAUCUGCAAGACAGAUCUGGAGGGUGUGUGAGGAAAGCAGAUUUGGAGUGUGUCAAUGAAAGCCAUGCUAAUGGGGAGCGAGACCAGUUUCUUUUGGUGUCUAACGUGAGACUGCCCAAGUAUCCAGUAACAAUACAAGCAAGGAGUGCUAUGGAGUGCGAAUCAAUUUGCCUGAAUAGCUGCCCUUGCUCCGCUUAUGCUUAUGAGGGAGAUGAGUGUAGAAUAUGGGGUGGAGAUCUUGUAAACGUGGAGCAGCUACCAGAUGGUGACAGUAAUGCUAGAAGUUUCUAUAUCAAACUUGCUGCCUCUGAGCUAAAUAAGAGAGGUAAGAAAAAAGAGUCAUAGUUGUUAUUGUAGGAGGACAUAAAGCAUCUGGGUCUUGUUUUGUUUUCAAAAUAAAAUGGCCAUCGAUUCAGCUAAAUUUAAUAUGAUAUAUUUCCUUCUACAGUUUCAAGCAGCAAGUGGAAGGUAUGGUUAAUUGUUACACUGGCCGUAUCUUUAACUUCAGUCUUUGUCAAUUAUGGGAUAUGGCGAAGGUUCCGAAGAAAAGGUCAGUAUUUCUCAUGGACAGAAGGAUAGCCAAGCAGUUCAACAGUUUUUAGGUUUCAUCUGCAAAUACAAAACCAGUUCUUUUUUUAAAUGAGUUCAUUACCACUGUUAUUGAAUAAUUGAGGUAACAUUAGGAUUUCAAUGUUCUGAUUACAUGUGAGUGUGUAUGUGGAAUCCAAUGUGAGAAAUAAUUUAUUCCCGUGCCAGAAUUCCUACAUUCUUAUGAUAUUUAAUGUCUGUUUGUUCUUUACCAAGCAGGGGAAGAUUUGUUAGUAUUUGAUUUCGGUAACAGCUCAGAAGAUACCAGCUAUGAGCUUGGCGAGACAAAUAGACUUUGGAGGGGUGAGAAGAAGGAAGUUGAUUUGCCCAGGUUCAGUUUUGCGAGUGCAUCUGCUUCUACAAAUAACUUCUCUAUUGAAAAUAAACUAGGAGAGGGCGGUUUUGGAUCUGUUUACAAGGUGAGAUUACAACCCCUGACAAUAAUGUUCUACAAUCUGUCCUGGAAUGUAAAGGCCCACUUGAUAUACAUCAAAUUUUUUUUACCUGGUGUAAUUGUAGUCACUUGAAAUUCUCAUGACAGGGAAAGUCACAAAGAGGAUAUGAGGUAGCUGUGAAAAGGCUCUCAAAAAGAUCUAAACAGGGAUGGGAGGAGUUAAAAAAUGAAGUCAUGCUUAUAGCCAAGCUGCAACACAAGAAUCUUGUGAGAGUUUUGGGAUACUGCACCGAGCGGGAUGAGAAGAUAUUGAUUUAUGAGUAUAUGUCCAACAAAAGCUUGGAUUUCUUCCUCUUUGGUUUGUAACUUCCACAUACAUAUACUUCCAGCUACUGUACAUUCAAUGAGAAAACUUUACACAUUCAUCAUUCUUCACCACUUAUUUGCUAACAUCUAUUUAUUUGGUGUAAAAUGGAGGUAGAUCCUACAAAACAUGGGAUUCUGAAUUGGAAGACACGGGUUCACAUCAUUGAAGGGGUUGCUCAGGGACUUCUUUAUCUGCAUCAGUACUCCAGAUUGAGGAUUAUUCAUCGAGAUUUGAAGGCUAGCAACAUUCUUCUGGAUAAGGAUAUGAAUCCUAAAAUAUCAGAUUUUGGAAUGGCAAGAAUAUUUGGAGGCAAUGAAUCAAAAGCAACAAAUCAUAUAGUUGGGACUUAGUAAGUGAAACCUGACAAAUUAUAAAAUAUGUGAAUGUUCAUACAACAUUUGAAAUCAUGCAGCUACUGAAUGAUUUUUCUCAUUAAUAAUCAAAUCCAGCGGCUAUAUGUCCCCUGAGUAUGCUUUGGAAGGUCUUUUCUCCACUAAAUCUGAUGUCUUUAGCUUUGGGGUCUUGUUAUUGGAGAUUUUGAGUGGCAAGAAGAAUACUGGAUUUUACCAAACCGACUCGCUCAAUCUUCUUGGAUAUGUGAGUAACACAAUAUUUAUUCACUUACAUAACUAUUUAUGAUGUUUUGAUAUGCUAAUUCCUAGUUUUCAAUUCCCUUGUUAUAUUACCUAUCCGGUUGUCUUGGGAUACUAGUAAAUUUUCACAUUAUGUCUACCACUCAGUUUCAAGGCUUAUUUUAUAUUGUUGGCUGAUAUAUAAAGGACUUUAUUAUCUUUUACUUUUCGGGAAUUUGCAUCAAUGGAUAAUUUUCUUCAUUUAGGUAUGGGAUCUGUGGAAAGAUAGCAGGGGGCAGGAGUUGAUGGAUCCAGGAUUGGAAGAGACAUUGCCAACACACAUUCUGUUGAGGUACAUCAAUGUAGGCCUUCUUUGUGUUCAAGAAAGUGCAGAUGACAGGCCUACCAUGUCUGAUGUUGUCUCAAUGCUUGGCAAUGAAAGUGUACGUUUACCUUCUCCAAAACAACCGGCAUUUUCAAAUCUGAGAAGUGGGGUGGAACCACAUAUAUCCCAAAACAGGCCUGAAGUUUGUUCCUUAAAUGGUGUGACACUUUCAGUUAUGGAAGCACGAUAGUGGUUCUGAACUUAAUUAAUAAUAUGCUUAAAUUUGAGCAUAUUGUCUUGUAUUGUUCUUGGUGAAUUCAUAGCUCAUAUACUAAAAUGGACAAGUGACCUUAUGUGUGUAUUUUUCUUCCAAAACAGUUUAAUAAUCAUCUUGUACUCAAUCCCCCUAUGGAUUCAGACCUGUGUCUUAGCUUCCUAUUUGAAAUUGCUACUAAAUCUGACUUUAUCUGGUCAAAUUUGGAUUUAGUUUGAAAAUGAUCUGUUCCAUUGUCGAUCCAAAGAGUAAAAUACAACUUUUUUCAUUGCUAAUUAGUAGCUAACAAAAGGUGCCUCUAGGGCCAAUCCAGCUAUAGAGAAUCAACCACCCACCUUCCACUUCCUCUCUUAUGGAUGUUUUUGAAUGCCUUGGCAUAUGUAUAUCAUGUACAUAUACACCACCAAUUUGGCCUGGGAUCAGUUUCAUCAAGUAUUUCAGGAGACAACAUAAAACAAGUCAAAAAGUAUAUAAUUACGAACUAAUUGGCCAUCCAGCACAGAAAAUCCAUCUCCCAAUGGGGCCUUAAAGCACUUGAAUUUACUGUUCUUUCCAUCAUUAUUUUCAUUCUGGGCAUGGCCUAGAUUGAAGAAAGGUCCGACACAAAUUGGAAAAGUCAUAGAAGGAAAUAUAUCUAGAAGGGAAUCCUAACAAAAGGUCUUUCAAAACUGCUACACCUUGCUUUGAAUGGUACCUGGUAUCUACAUUGAAUGAGUGUUUUUCCUAUGUCCCACCAUUAAAAUGAAUGGGAGUCUUGCAAAUUACAUAGAUUUUUUUUUUAUAAUGUAUUAUUUUAUAAAUUUCAUAGAAUUAUUAAUUUAGUAUUUUAGCCCCAAAGUCCCUAAAAAACAUUAUUUGCUUGAGGGGUUCAUAUUAUCAUGCAUUAAUUUAUUGAAAUUCUACUAUUUUUUCCUUAAUUAAAAAGUGAAUUUUUUAUUUUAUUAUUUUAUUUUUCUUUAACAAAAAAAGUCACUUUUUCUCUUUUUUCUUUGAAGUCCUCUAACUUCAUAACACUCGAACUCAUUUUCUCAUACAAAAUAAAAUUAAUCAAAUUCAAAUUUGAAACAUUGAAAAUUAAUCAAUAACAUAAAAAUCAAUUUAUAUAAUCAAAAACCUUAAUUAUUAUCAAAUUACUAACUUUCUAACUAUUUACAUGAUUAAUCAUUAUAAGAUUUUUAUUAUGACAAUAGAUUUUGGUACUGAUGAUCUACAACCCUGAUCUGUAGACACACAAGUCCCUGUCAUCAAACCCUGAUCUAGAACAGUAUUUGACAUCAUGGAAAUGCACUGAUGAUCCAUCCACUAGAAACUUCACUUGGAGAUUAGAUAUUCCCAGGCUGCCUCAACUGGCUGUUGGAAUGGGAUCAGUCAAAAAGUACCGCACAGGGCCAUGGAAUGGAGUUUGAUUUAAUGGUUUACCAGUGUUUCCCAAUGAGGAGGUCUAUUUACCAUUAAUGAUUUUUAAUGAGGAGAAUGUAUAUUACUUGCCUCAGGCUGGCAACUACUCUGCUAAUCUGAGAGUCACCAUCAAUCAUUUAGGCUUGCUGCAAUGGAAUAUAUUGAAUGAAAGCAAUGAUGAGUGAACUACUAUGUACACUGUACCAUAUGACCUAUGUGACAACUAUGGACAGUGUGGUAUGCUCUAUGUGACAACUAUGGACAGUGUGGUGCUAAUGGCAUUUGCAGGCUUUCCAGCAUGCCAGUCUGUGAGUGUUUGAAGGGGUUCACCCCCAACUCAAAAGGAGAAUGGGAAAUGUUUGAUUGGUCUAGUGGAUGUGAAAGGGCAGGACCUUGGAUUGCAAGAGCAAAGAUGACCUUAUGAAGGUCUUAGGGAUGAAAUUGCCUGACUUGUUGGAGUUUCGGUUGAACAAGAGCAUGAGCCUCAAGGAAUGUGAGGUAGAGUGCUUGAAGAACUGCUCCUGUGUGGCAUUUGCGAAUUCAAACAUUAAAGGUGGAAGCAGUGGAUGUUUGACCUGGUAUGGAGAUCUGAUUGAUAUUAAAGGGUUCACAGAUGGGAAAAGUGGGCAAGACCUUUAUAUCAGAUGUCCAGCUGGGGAACUAGGUAAGAGUAUUUGACACUCUUUUCACUUCCAAGCUCUUUUAUUGUUCAUCCAUGAAGGUUUAACAUGCAUUGCAAUCCGGAUUGCAUGGUUGAUUAUUUUCUCUAGGUGAGUUAGGAUCUUUUUCAUUUUUGGGAUAUGAAAGAAAGUUAGGAUUGUUUGUCAUAUAUCCUCAGUAAUGGUUUCUAUCUUUUAACUAAAGGCACAGAAACAAUUGAUGGCCAACUCUCUCUGCAGUAAGGUGCAGACAAAACUGAAGCGAGGAUUUGAUAACAAAAGUUUUUAGCAAAAUGAUUAAAUUUCUUCCCAUCUCCUGCUUCAGGGUCAAUCCAUGGUUCAAAUAAGAAGAAAUAACUGGUUGCUGUCCUAGUUGCAUCGACCAUUUCUGGAAUGCUAAUCUUGGGCUUGGUGUUCUGGUGCAUAAAAAGGAAAAAAAAAAAAGAGGUAAUCCUAAUUAUUGGUCCAUUCAUUGUUUCAACUUUCAUCAUUGAAAAUCUAUAUCAUACAACUGGAUCCUGAGUACAGUAAUGAAGUAGGCACUAUCUCAUCAAUAGGCCUGGAAAGUGAGAUGGAAGAUUUAGAGUUACCUUUGUUUGAAUUGGCUACCAUUAAUACUGCUACUAACAACUUCUGUGUCAUAAAUAGAACUGGCACAGGCAGCUUUGGUCCUGUUUUCAAGGUAACAUUUGAUUGUAAGAAAAAGUGUGUUUCCUAUGAGACAAUAUGCAGGGCAGUUUGUCAAUAGGACAAGAAGUAGCAGUGAAGAGGUUGUCAAAGAAUUCAGGACAGGGUCUUCAAGAGUUUAAGAAUGAGAUCUUUUUAAUUGCCAAACUCCAACGCAAGAAUCUUGUAAAGCUUUUAGGCUGCUGCAUUCAGGGACAAGAAAGGAUAUUACUCUAUGAAUAUAUGCCCAACAAGAGUUUGGAUUAUUUUAGUUCCGUUUGAAAUUCUCAACCCUUUAGAUCUCUUUGGACUGGUUUGGGUACAUGAUCAUCCAUACCAUGCUCAUGCAUCUAUAGAGUACAAAUAGUUAUAAUCGCAAAAUUUACAAGGGUUGAAAUGAUGUGCAGAUCAAAACAGAAGAGCGUUAUUGCCAUGGAAAAAGCGCUUUGACAUUGUUAUGGGGAUCGUGCAAGGACUUGUUUAUCUCCACCAAGAUUCUAGACUUCAAAUCAUUCAUAGGGAUCUCAAGGCAAGCAAUAUACUGACAGAUGAAAACCAGAACCCCAAAAUUUCAGACUGGCUUGGCAAUAAUUUUUGGAGGGGGAUGAAAUGGAAGCAAAAACAGAGUGAUUGGAACAUAGUAAGUUCUGUACUUCGACUUUAGAAAUGAUGUGCUUUUCCUUGAAAUAACUUAUAUUUGAAAUCUUCAUGCAGUGACUGCACGUCCCCAGAGUAAGUGAUUGAUUGCAAAUUUUCUGUUAAAUUUGAUAUCUUUAGUUUUGGUGUGCUUCUGCUGGAGAUUGUGGCUGGUAUAAAGAACAGGGGGUUCUAUCAUUCAAACUACCACCAUAAUCUUCUGGGACAUGCAAGUAGAAAGAAAGAAAAUCCACCUCUGUCACACACACACAUCAAAGACGCAUGCCCUCUCUUGCUUUUCUGACAAAGUAUAUGGCUUCCAAUUGCUUUAGACAUGGUUGCUUUGGAAACAAGACAAGGCCUUGGAUGUAAUGGCUGCAUGUUUGGAGGACUCAUGUAUUGAAUCCCAGCUACUAAGAUGCAUACAAGUCGGUUUAUUAUGUGUUGAAAACCUCCCAGCAGAUAGACCAGCUAUGUCAUCUGUGAUUUUCACGUUGGGUACUGAGGGAGCAACACUACCUUAACCUAAACAUCCUGCUUUCUUCACAGAAAUAAGUACGAUUGAUACAGAUGCAACAACAGGACGUGAAGAGUUACCUUCAGAAAAUGUAGUAACCAUCUCAGUGCCAGAAGGUAGAUAAAGGAUUCAAGCACUGUGUCAACAUGUGCAGGGUGCAUCCAAGGUUUUAUUCAUGUAGGAUAUAGCACUAGGCUCUUCAAUGGAUGGGCACCAAUUUCCUUAAGGUUGCAAAACUAGAUACAGCUUGGCCCCAAGGAGGCCAAGGUAUUGGAUUUACUGCACUAGAACCAUAUCUGCUGGGCUUCAUAAUCCUCUAAAUGUAUGAAUAAAAUGUGCUGGAGUGUGUCCUCUAUGGCAGCUCAGGGCAGUGUGAUUUGUAACUUAAAACUCACUAGUACAACUUUUGAAAUUCAUAUUUUCACAGGAUCAAGUUGGGUAUAUGCACAAGAAUGUGGAUUCUGCAGUCAACUUGGCUGCUUCACUUUCUUUUCCUCAGAGUUCACAUUUAUAGGGCUUAUAUAGAUGCUGAGCUAUACAAAAAUCUUGAUUUGAAAUCUCAAGAAUUUCUAGAGGUGUUCAAAAUCCUUUGAAAUGUCCUUGGGAAGUGCAAUGAGCUUGCAACAAAUUGGAGUGAAUGGAGAUAAACAAAUUGAAAAUCAAAUGAGAGGAUUUGAAGCUUAAACAAAUAAACACCUUCACAGAAUAAGGUGUGAAUCUCUACUGUCUCUCUCAAGUUAGACAUCUUUUAACUUCUUUUCAUCUUCCCAGAAGCUUCAAAAUUUUUUGCAAAACAUUAACUUGAAUACUAUACAGUGGCAAACCUUAGUGGGAGCUUUCAAAUUAUUUAGGAGAAAGAAUUCAAGAACUAUGUAACAGAUGAUUCACAUAGAUUCUUUCCUUAGGACUAACAUGGAAAGAAUUCAGGUAAAUAGAGAUGAAUGUUUAUCAAAUUAACAGAGACAAACCUGCCAAGCAACCAUUGAGAUGCUGCAAGCUCAAUUCAGAUCGUUUGAUCUUGCAAUAUUUUUUUCCAAUUAAUUGAGGGGGCAUAAGAGAAGACACUGAUUUUACAUCUUAGUAACUUGUUUUUCAUUGGAAUUGGAAAUUUCCAAGUUACCCUGUUUAGACAGUUCUUCCAAUUGAAAUGAUUGAGCCCUUAAACUUGCAUAGCACGGUACUCUGUUAAGAUUCUGGAGUCUUUGAAGACUGCAACCUGAUCCACUUGAUGCUGUGUCAUGGUUCAAUUAACUAGCUAGUCAUGCUUGAGAGGACCUGUCUGACAAACACCAGGAAAAAUCUACAUUAGCAACUAUUUUAUUUUAAUUUUCUUCCUAUGUCUAUAAGUAGAUAGCAUAGAGUGAUUUGUGGUAUAUCCUCUAUGGCAUCAUGUUUUUCCAUAAACACAUUGAUGAUGAAUAAGCUUUCAUAAAUUAGAUAGGGCAUGAGCUCUCCAUGUGGCACUAUUUUUUUUUUGUGGAAAAUAAUUUAGUAUUUUAAGUUUACUACAACCCAUAAAACUUUCCCUUCAUUUGGAAAAAACGAAUCUGAAGCUACCCAGAAGCUGACCUGAAAAGACAUGUCUUAAUUGUUCUUUUAAUUAUUAAUUUUAUUGUGGGCAUGGCCUAGGUUGAGAAAGGUCCAAUAAGGCUUAGAAAAGUCAUGGAAAGAGAUAUAUAUAUAGAAGUGAUAGGUCAAGUUCAUUCAUCCGCAUGAAAAGGACCAGGGUCGACUUCUUAAUGGUUCGUACUUACUAACGUAGAAAUUAGGGAAGAAAUCGCGGCAGGUGCUGCUACCUAGGGAAGGUAACACCAUUGCACUUGACUAUGAUCCUCUACCUCAUGUUCAUGUGAUGAUUAUGACGUAGGUGACAACUGUUUUAUCAGAUUGGAAGUAUAGAAUUCCAAGAAUAUUGAAGACAAAUCAAGCGCAAAUGAAGGCGAAGAUUAACAGAUGGAUUAUUACUCACAAAGGAAACUAAGGGUGAAUCUUCCCAGACAACGAUACAGAAAUGAGUGAUGGGUGCUGCAGUCCCUGUUUCAAGGCUGCUGUAUCGCCUACAGUUAAUCAAUCUCUACAAAAAGUGAUUAAAAAGUUAAUUUUUUUAACAAAAAAAAAAAAGUCCCUUUUUCUCUUUUUUCUUUGAGGUCUUAACUCUAUAACACUCGAUCUAGUUAAAACUAACAUGGAAAGAAUCCAGGUAAAUAGAGAUAGAUGUUUAUCAAAUUAAUAGAGACAAUCCAGACAUCAAGAUUGGCAUGCCAAGCAACCAUCGAGAUGCUACCUUCCAGGCCCUAUAACACAAACUCAUUUCAGAUAGUAUGAUCUUCUGACAUUUUUUUAAACAAAAUUCAAUUAGGGAACAUUUGGGAGGACUCUACAAUUUUACAUUUCAGUAACUUGAUUUUCAUUGGAAUUGGAAAAUUCAUAGUCACCCUGUUGAGGCAGUUCUUCCAAUUCUAAUGCUUGAGCCCUUAAACCUACAUAACACGGUACUCUGUUGGACUAAGACUGAAAGCCUGGCCAAGUCAAAAACUGCAGCGUUGUCCUCUUGAUGCUGUGUCUUGGACAAAUUCCAGGAAAAACCUACAUCAGAGAAAUUUUAGUAUUUUUUUAAACUAGUGUAUAGAAGUCUUCCUUCCAUCUGUGAGAAACGUCAAUGGAGACCCAUCUUUUCUUCGCCAUCUUUUGUGCUUGGAUUUGUCUCUCAGUUCCCUUGGAGUUCUGUAUUGCAGCUGAUUCCAUAAGGAUGGACCAAUCCAUAAGCCAUGGUGAGACUUUAGUUUCCUCAGGCCAAAGUUUUGAACUAGGCUUCUUCUCUCCUGGAAGCUCCAAAAACAGGUACUUGGGAAUAUGGUACAAGAAUACACCCCAGACAGUUGUAUGGGUUGCAAACAGAAACAACCCAAUUGCAGAUUCUUACGGAGUUUUAACCAUCAUCAACAAUGGCGCACUUGUUCUUCUCAACCAGUCAAAGAGUGUAAUCUGGUCUCCCAAUUUGUCAAGGGUACCUGAAAAUCCAGUUGCACGGCUCCUAGAGACUGGAAAUCUUGUUCUCAGGGACAGUAGUAAUGAAAGUUCUGAAAGCUAUAUAUGGCAGAGCUUUGAUGAUCCAUCAGACACAAUGUUGCCACGCAUGAAGGUGGGAUGGAACUUAAAGACUGGUCUACAACAAAAAUUGACAUCAUGGAGAAGUGCUGAUGACCCAUCCCUUGGAGACUUCUCUUACAGAAUUGAUAUUAAUGUGCUGCCUUACGUGGUUCUUGGUGUGGGAUCAAGCAAAAAAGUCCGUUCCGGGCCGUGGAAUGGACUUGAAUUCAAUGGUGUUCUUGUGUUGGACUACUUGGUUUACAAAGCAGUUUUUGUUAACAACGACGAUGAGGUAUAUACCCUCUGUGAGUCUAACAACAAUAAGAUCAUUUCAAGACUAACAUUGAACCAUUCAGGUUUCCUCCAGAGUCUGGUAUCAAAAAAAGGAAGCUCUGACUGGGAUGAUUUGUACUCAAUUCCCAGUGAACUUUGUGUAAAUUAUGGCCAUUGUGGUGCUAAUGGUAUCUGCAGAAUUGGCAAGGCGCGGAUUUGUGAGUGUUUGCCAGGUUUCACACCAAAUUCACAAAAAGAAUGGGACAUGUUUAAUACAUCAAGUGGAUGCAUCGAAGAAGGCCUUUGGAUUGCCAAAGUGAAGAGGGAUUUGUAAAGGUUACAGGGGUGAAAUUGCCCGACUUGAUAGAUUCUCAUGUGAUUAAUAGUGUGAGCCUUAGGGAGUGUGAGGUGUCAUGCUUGAACGACUGUUCUUGUACAGCAUAUGCCUACUCAAAUGCAUAUGCUUACUCAAAUCCUAAUGGAAACGGUGGCUGUUUGAUGUGGUCUGGGGACCUGAUUGAUAUCAGAGAGUUAACUUCAGAAAAACAUGCGGAGGACAUCUAUAUCCGCAUGCACACUUCAGAGCUAGGUAAGACACUUGAUUUUCUGUAAAUCACGUUUUGAUUGUAAGCUAUUGGGGUUGUCUCCAAUAGCCUAAGCCCUAAGUUUUCCUGGUAAAUCAAGAUGCAGAAUUACUUAUUUUCCAAAAUCAGAGAUUCAAUUUGACAAGAAGAUUAUAAUCUAGUUAAAACUAAGACCCUAUAUUAUAUUCCAGAAGAACCAUAGCUGUUAGGAUUCAGGUUAACUAAUGAUGAACUGACUUGUAAUAAUCCUAACAAGCAGAAAGCAAAUAUCCAAUUCAUUUUCUGAAGAAACAGGGAAAUCCGGGGAAAUGGUUACUUCAUUCUUGUUACUGUCUGUUCCAGGGUUAAACACUUAUCAGAAGAAAAAACUAGUGAUCAUCCUUGUUAUAUCUACCUUUUCUGGAAUCCUCACCUUGGGCUUAGCAGUCUGGUUUCUAUUUCAGAAGAAGAGAACAAUGGGAGCAGGUAUGCAUACUUAUCCACCUUGAUGAUUUUAUUGAAAGAAAACCACGUGGUUGUGCUUUAAAAGUAGCUUCUAAAUUAUUAUCCCUUUUAACAGACCAGGAAAGCAAGGAGAACUUAGAGUUACCUUUGUUUGACUUGCCUACCAUUGCAACUGCUACUAACAACUUCUCCAACACCAAUAUGAUUGGAGCAGGUGGCUUUGGGUAUGUGUACAAGGUAAUAUACGCCAUCUUAUGCAUCAGGAUAACCCAAAAAUGAUUUCAAAAGAAAGAAGUGUUAGCUUUUUUCCUAUAAUGUGUGGCCAUAUAUAAUUAUAUUUAUAUAAAUAUUAUUUAAGGCUAUCAAUUGAUAGGUAGGUGAAUCAAUUAAUUGGGCAUCCAAGAGUUUUAUGUAUGGAAGACUCAAAUUACAAAUGGGGAGUUAGAAAAUUUACUUUAUAUGAAUAUGGUGUCACAACUUUUGUAACCCCAUCAUUAUGAAAUUCAUUUUGUACAUUAUGUUUGAGUAAUAGAGGAAAAUGAAAAUGUAUAACUUAUGCAAUUAUAUAGAUGCAUUCAAGUUCAUAACCCACCAUUACCUAUUAAUUUGUACAUAAUGGGUGUAAAUAAUGAGUAUAACUCCCAUAUAGUCUUUGAUGGGAAGACUAAGAGAUGUACAACUUUUUAUAAAUUGAGGUCCCAAGUCACACUCUCAUUCUUAUGUCAUUUUUGUUGUUUAUUUUUAACAACAUACACCACACAAGUGACCCAUCCAUUAUAUGAGAGUAGUGAGUUGAAGAUCUUGAAAAUACAAUUCACAAGGUGACUCAAUCUCACUUCAUGGAUCAAGGUAAGAAUAUGAUCAUUAUUUUAGUAUUUACAUUUAUUUUGUUUUAUGCAUCAAAAUUUUUUUUUAAAAAUAAUUAUUUUCGUAUAAAGUUUAUAAAAGUUUGGUUAAUAAUUGGUAUCAGAGCCAACCAAUUUUGGAUCAUAAAACAUAUUUUUUCAUUUUUUGAUUAUUGUUUGAUCUUAUGGACAACUAAAAUAUAUAUGAUGUGAUGCAUAUGAAUGAUGUAGUAACACACAUUUUCAAUGUUUCAUGAUUUCAAUCAUAUCUAUUGCAUGAUUUUAUGAAAGUUGCAAAAAUAUGAUUAGUAAUUUAAAUGUGUGAUUAUGGAAAUCUCAAGAAAUAGCUUUUCUAGUAUGCAUGUUUAUUUACUUGUUUGUUUGAAGAUGAUCAUAUAUAUAUGUGUGAUCAACCUAACGAAGGAUCAUCACCAUGUUUGAUUAUAUGACAAGAGUUUAAUAAUAAAAGGUUGAUGAAGUUUUUACCCAACGGUAUUAAACUUCUUUACGUUUCAAUACUUUUAUUUUAAUAAUUAUGUCAUAUCUAUAUGAUUUAUGAAUUAUUAUAAUUCAACCCAAUGGAGGGAUUAUAAUAAUGUACUUUUGUGUUAUAUGAUUGUAGUUCGGUCCAACGAAAGAACGAUGAUAUGAUCUCUAAUGUUUAUGAUUAAUGUGAUAUCUAACUUAAUUUUUGUUGUAGUUAUAUAUUAUUGUAAAGUGUGGUGUUAAAUAUUGUCAUGACAUAAAAUAAUUUUCCUUUUUGAAUUAAAUUUUAUUUUCCAGCAAUGAAUCCUACUGCUAUUACAGGCUAUUUGUCUGGUAUUGAAUGAUUAAGUGGGGCAAAUUUUAAAAAAUGGAAGGAACAAAUUGGAAUUGUUCUUGGUUGCAUGGAUUUGGACUAUGCCUUAAGAGAGCCUACACCCACAAAGCCUACUUCUGAAAGUACUAAUGAACAAAAGGCUUUAUAUGAAAAGUGGGAGCGCUCUAAUCGCAUGAGUCUAAUGAUUAUGAAAGGUUCAAUCACUCCUGCAAUUCAUGGAGCAAUCCCGAAUUCAGAUAAUGCAAUGACCUAUAUUAAAUAAGUUGAAGAACAAUUCUUAGGAACUUCCAAGUCAUUGGCAAGUACUCUUAUGAUCAAAAUGAUAACAAUGAAAUAUGAUGGUCAUAGUGGUGUACGUGAGCACAUCAUGAAGAUGAGUGAUAUGGCUUCUCAAUUAAAAGGAAUGAACAUGACAAUUUUUGAAGGUUUUCUUGUUCACUUCAUAAUGACUUCCCGUCCUUCACAAUUUGGUCCUUUCAAAAUUAAUUAUAAUACUCAGAAGGAUAAGUGGAAAAUGAGUGAACUAAUUGCAAUGUGUGUUUAAGAAAAAGAGAGGCUUAAAGUGGAAAAGCCCGAUAUGGCUCACCUCACUAUUGGUCCAAAUAAAAAAUCCUUCAAGAAAGGUAAAGGUAAGAAAAAGAAGCAAGGUAAUGAUGUAUCUCAUAAUGGGAAAAAGGACGAAAAUAAGAUACAAUGUCAUUUUUGCCAUAAGAAAGGUCACAAAAAAAUAUAUUGUUUUGGCUUUAAGGCUUGGUUGGAAAAGAAAGGUAAAACUCAAUGCUUAGUGUCUUAUGAAUCUUAUUUAGUUGAUAUACCACCAAACUCUUGGUGGAUUGACACUGGUGCAAGCAUUCACAUAACAAAUUCAUUGUAGGGAUACCUUAUAAGCAAGAGACUAAGUAAAGGAGAGCGAACCAUUACUUUGGGAAAUGGAACGAAAGUGGAAAUUGAGGCUAUUGGCAUUCUUCGUUUAAUUUUGGAUAUUGGUUUCAUUAUGGAUUUAGUAGAUACAGUUUAUGUUCCUGUUUUUACUAGAAACCUAAUUUCAGUUCCAAGACUUGAUUCUUAUGGUUAUGAAUUAAAGUUUGGAAAUAAUGGAGUUUCCUUGUUCUAUAAUUCUUGUUUGGUUUGCUCUGGCACUUUACAUGGUAAUCUUUAUUCAUUGAAUUUAGAUUGCAAAUAUUCAUAGUCUCUUUUAUCUUAUCAUGUGUAUGAAGUCUCUAAAAAAUGAAAUCGAGUGAAUGAAAAUUCAUCCAUAUUAUGGCAUAAGCGACUGGGUCACAUUUCAAGAGAAAGGAUGGAACGUCUUAUUAAAGAUGAAAUUUUGACUUCACUUAAUUUUUCUAAUUUUACUAGUUGUGUUGAAUGCAUAAAGGGAAAGAUACACUAAGGUUAAGAAAAAGGGUGCCUCAAGGGCCACUGAAUUGUUAGAAUGUAUUCAUUCUGACAUUUGGGGACCUUAUUCAAUUCCAACUAUCAAUGGACAUAAGUACUUUAUUAGUUUUAUUGAUGACUUUUCAAGGUAUUCUUAUGUGUAUCUUAUUCGUGAAAAAUAUGAAGCAUUAGAUGUUUUUAAGAUUUAUAAAGUUGUGGUUGAAAAUCAACUCAAUCGGUGAAUUAAAAGUGUAAGAUCUGAUAGAGGUAGUGAAUAUUAUGGUAGGUUCACUGAAUCAGGUCAACUUCUUAGUACUUUUGCCUUAUUUUUAAGAGAGCAUGGUAUCAUUGCAAACUACACAAUGUCUGGAACACCAGAGCAAAAUGGUGUAGUAGAGCGACGGAAUCGUACUCUAAUUGACAUGGUGAGAAGUAUGAUGAGUAACUCAACCUUGCCUGAAUUUUUGUGGGGUGAAGCAUUGAAAACUACUGUUCACAUUCUCAAUCAUGUUACUAGUAAGGUUGUACCCAAAACUCCUUAUGAGUUAUGGGUGGGUAGGAAACCGACUUUGAAUUAUUUACAUGUAUGGGGAUGUCCAGCUGAAGCUAAAUUUUUUAACCCACAAAUAAAGAAAUUAGAUUCUAAAACCAUAAGUUGCAAUUUCAUUGCCUAUCCUGAAAUAUCGAAAUGUUUUAGAUUUUAUUAUCAUGGCCAGGGCCCUAAAAUUGUUGAAACUAGACAUGCUGCGUUUUUGGAAAAUGAAUAUUUUAAUGGGAGAACUGAGCUUAAAAAGUUAACCUCUAAUGAAGUAUCAACACCAAUGAUGGAAUAUGGUGUGACUCAAGAGGUUUCUAGUAAUGAAAAUGAGAAUGUCCCAACUACAGAAGUAUUUUUACGUAGAUCACAAAGAGAGAAAAUACAUGCUAUAUCAAAUGACUACGAAGUUUAUCUUAAUGAGUGUGAUUAUGAUGUUGGCUUGGAAAGUGAUCCUACUUCUUAUGAUCAAGCCAUCAAUAGUGAAAAUUCAACUCUAUGGCUUUAUGCUAUGGAAGAAAAGUUGAAAUCAAUGAAAGAUAAUGAAGUUUGGGAUCUUGUAGAAUUGCCCAAAGGAAUUAAAACUAUUGGUUGCAAAUGGAUUUUAAAAACCAAAUAUGAUUCUAAGGGCAACGUCGAAAGAUACAAGGCCAGGUUAGUUGCAAAAGGAUACACUCAAAAAGAAGGAAUCGCCUACAAGUAAACAUUUUCUCCUAUUUCCAAGAAAGAUUCUUUAAGAAUAGUCAUGGCUUUAGUAGCUCAUUUUGACUUAGAGUGACAUCAAAUAGACGUUAAAACUGCCUUUUUGAAUGGUGACUUGCAUGAAGAGGUUUAUAUGGAUUAACCUGAGGGUUUUCAGGAUAAAGGCAAGGAAUAUAUGGUAUGUAAACUUAAAAAGUCCAUAUAUGGUCUAAAGCAGGCUUCUAGACAAUGGUAUCUUAAGUUCCAUGAAAUUCUCAUCACUUUUGGUUUCAAAGAGAAUCUAGUGGAUCAAUGUAUAUACCUUAAGAUCAGUGGGAGCAAAAUUUGUAUUAUUGUUUUGUAUGUUGAUGGUAUGUUGCUUGCUAGCAACAAUAUGGGGAUGAUUUUUGAGACCAAACAAUUUUUAUCUAAGAAUUUUGAUAUGAAAGAUCUUGGUGAAGCAUCCUAUGUGAUAGGAAUUGAAAUUCAUCGAGAUAGGUCACGUGGAUUAUUAGGAUUAUCCCAAAAGAACUAUAUUGAAAAAGUUCUUAAAAGAUUCAACAUGCAAAAUUGUUCUAGCAAUGUUGCUCCUGUUGUGAAAGGGGACAUAUUUUGUGAACUUCAAUGUCCCAAAAAUGAUCUUGAAAAGAAACAAAUGGACAAAAUUCCUUAUGCUUCUGCAAUAGGGAGUAUCAUGUAUGCUUAAGUAUGCACUCGACCAAAGAUAGCUUAUGUGGUAGGCAUGCUUGGUCGAUACAUAAGUAAUCCAAGUAUUGAUAAUUGGAAAGCAGUUAAGAAAGUAUUGCGUUAUUUACAAGGGACUAAGGACUACAUGCUUACAUAUAAAAGAACAGAUAAUCUAAAGAUUAUUGGUUAUUCUAAUUCUGAUUAUGUUGGUUGUAAGGAUACCGGAAAAUCUACAUCUGGGUAUAUUUUUAUGUUAUCAAAUGGACCUAUUUUAUGGAAGAGCCAUAAGCAAUCAUUGAUAGCUUUUUCUACAAUGGAGGCAGAAUAUGUAGCAUGUUAUGAAGCCACAUGUCAUGUAAUAUGGUUGAGAAACUUUGUAUCAGGGCUUCAUGUUAUUGAUUCGAUAAUGAGACCAUUGAGAAUAUAUUGUGAUAAUAGUGUUAUUGUUCGAUUCUCUAAAAAUAAUAAGACUACAGGAGGAUCAAAGCACAUUGAUAUUAAGUAUUUGGUUAUAAGGGAGAAAGUUCAAAAUGGAGUUGUCUCUAUUGAACAUAUUGAAAAUACACUCAUGUUGGCAGAUCCAUUGGCAAAAGGUCUUCCACCUAAGCUUUUUAUGGAUUAUGUUGCGCACAUGGGCUUGGUGGUAAGUUUGUCAAUUUUAGAUUGAUUAAGAGUGUAAUGUAUGUGAUCACAUUAUAAUGAGAAUAAAGUUCUUGAUUAUGAUAUAUUGAUGAUUAUUAUGUUACUUUUAUACAUCAUUUUUGUGCACAAUCUAGAUGUUUAAAAGUUGAUGGGACCAUUAUGUGAAUGAAUUAGUAUUAUCACCUUAAUCUUUCUAAUGUCAUAAAAGUCAUUGAUUCAUGUUAAUGGAGGUGCUAGUACUAUAAUCCUUGAAGAAUAUUGGAUCAUUGUGUGAUCCAAUCAUUUCAAUGAUUUGGUGUUAGUGGUUCUAUGAAACAUAAUCUUAAUGUAAAGGAUGCCUAUUUUGAGAAAUUGUUAUGGUCAUAUUAUGUUUUAAUCUAUUACAAAUAUAAUUAUGUAGGCCAAGUGAGAGAUUGUUAGCUUUUUUCCUAUAAUGUGUGGUCAUAUAUAAUUAUAUUUGUAUAAAUAUUAUUUAAGGCUAUCAAUUGAUAGGUAGGUGAAUCAAUUGAUUGGGUAUCCAAGAGUCUUAUGUAGGGAAGACUCAAAUUACAAAUGGGGAGUUAGAAAAUUUACUUUAUAUGAAUGAGGUGUCACAACUUUUGUAACCCCAUUAUUAUGAAAUUCAUUUUGUACAUUAUGUUUGAGUACGUAAUGGAGGAAAAUGGAUAUGUAUAACUUAUGCAAUUAUAUAGAUGCAUUCAAGUUCAAAACCCACCAUUACCCAUUAAUUUGUACAUAAUGGGUGUAAAUAAUGAGUAUAACUCCCAUAUAGUCUUUGAUGGAAAGACUAAGAGAUGUACAACUUUUUAUAAAUUGAGGUCCCAAGCCACACUCUCAUUCUUAUGUCAUUUUUGUUGUUUAUUUUUAACAACAUACACCACACAAGUGACCCAUCCACUAUAUGAGAGUAGUGAGUUGAACACCUUGACAAUACAAUUCACAAGGUGACUCAAUCUCACUUUAUGGAUCAAGGUAAGAAUAUGAUCAUUAUUUUAGUAUUUACAUUUAUUUUGUUUUAUGCAUCCAAAUUUUUUUUUAAAAUAAUUAUUUCCGCAUAAAGUUUAUAAAAGUUUGGUUAACAAGAAGAGAAAAAUAAUUGUGUCUUACACAUCAUAUUUUGUAGGGCAAUCUAUCUGAAGUAGCAGUAGCAAUGAAGAGAUUGUCCAAGAAUUCAGCACAGGGUGUUCAAGAGUUCAAGAAUGAAGUUGUUUUGAUUGCGAAACUUCAGCACAAGAAUCUUGUUAGGCUUUUGGGCUGCUGCAUUCAAGGAGAAGAAAGAAUAUUACUCUAUGAUUAUAUGCCUAACAAAAGCUUGGAUUAUUUUAUUUUUGGUUUGACCUUCUUAUCCCUAUCUGUUAGGAUUAGUUUCACUUUUUGAUCACCUAUAUUAUGCUCAGUCGUGUUCAAUUCAAUUCACACAUCUAAGUAAUUAAUUAAGCCUAAUAAAAAAAUUUAUAAAGGCAGAUGUAUUGUGCAGAUCAAAACAAAAGAGCAUCAUUGGCAGGGGAUAAGCGCUGCAAGAUUAUUAUAGCGAUAGCACGAGGGCUUCUCUACCUCCAUCAAGACUCUAGAUUUCAAAUUAUUCACAGGGAUCUCAAGAUAAGCAAUAUUUUACUGGAUGACAAUCUCAAUCCUAAAAUUUCAAAUAAAGAAUUCUCUCUAACCUCCUCUCAACAUAUUGAACAUAAAUUCUAGUUGGUUAAGGCUGCGAAUCACAUACGAAAUACAAUGAAUGAUGAAAUUCAAUCAUCUGAUGACAAUUUUUAGGUAAGAUUUAUAACUUUCAUUUGUUUCUAUAAAGAAAUAUAUAUAUUUAUCAAAAAAUAAAAAUAAAAAUCGGCAACUUGGGUGGGGCUUUGGCGUCCUGGGAGGCAGUAACCACGACAGUGGUUAUGGUUUGGAGUAGGGAUGAAAGUCGGUGACCAUCAACAACGAUGGUUGGGCAAAAUUUUUGCUUAUAAUAAUUAUAAAAAUCAAAUUUUUUAUUAUUAUUUAUAAUAGUUAAUAAAUUACUUUUCGUUUAUAAUAGUUAGAAAAUUCUUCAUGACAUAAAUUUUUGCUUAUAAUAAUUAUAAAAUUCUAAUUCUUUUAUUUGUUUAUAAUAUUUACUAAAUUACUAAUUUUUUGUAAGAAAACAUUAUAGUAGCCACAUAAAUUAUUAAUUUAAACAAGAUUUGUUUUUGCCAAUUUUACUAAUUUAAAUGUUUUAAUUUCUUUUUUUGAAAAUUUUAACUAAUUGCUUCAUGUUUUAAUUUUUUAAAUGCUUUAACUUUGUCAUGUACAUUCUCAUAUAAUUUGUAUAAUGUUAUUGUCUUCAUGAUAUAAAUAGAAUUUUUUAUCUAUUUUGUAAGAUGAAUAUUUUGUGGAGGAAUUUCCAUCACAAUUGAUAGAUUAUGGCAAACAUUUCACUAUACAUAAAAGAUUCAAAGAUCGAGAAGAGUUUAUUAAAGAGGUUAAACAAAUUGGAGAACAACAAAAUAUAUUUGUGAUUAUUUGUCGUUCCACUAAAGCUGAUGGUUUAGGAAGUGGCAAAGUAUGGAUAGGCUGCGAGAUAUUCGAAGGCUAUAGACCGUAACAGAACAUAAAAACCGAUGUGGUGCCUAGAAAUCGAACUAGGACGAAGAAGUGUCAUUGUCCCUUUAUGUUGAAGGGUAUUGAACAUGAUGAUGGAGGACUUUAGUCAUCAUUAAUGGCAACCACAAUCACUACCUUGGAAAGUAUCCUCACGGUCAUUCAUCGGUUGGUAAAUUAAAGGAAAUAGAGUUCAAGAUAGUAGCUACAAUGACCAAAAGUCAUGUUAAGCCACAACUUAUCUUAAAUCACGUCAAACGGGAGAAUCCAAGCAACUUGAGUUGUGGGAAACAUGUCUACAAUGCCAAGCAAAACCUUAAAGAUCAGAAAAAGAAAGGUUGUUCAGUGAUGCAACAACUACUAAAAUUGCUAAUUGAUCAUGGUUAUAUCACCACUGGUAUAGAGAAGUGAUAAGGUUAAUUUUGAGGAAGAGAAGGUAGAAAAGAAGAAGAGGACGGAGAAGGAUUUUUGGAUUUUCUGCUAUGCUUUAUUGAUCAUAAUACCGACUAUUUAUAAUAGUCUUACAGCUGGGAAAUAACAAACAAUGCUAUAACUUAGGAAAGAACUAAGGCCAGUCCACCUGGUAAAACAAAUAAAACAACACAAUGAAGACUAGCUCCGACCAGCUUAUUAAGUGGAGACUAGUUAACAGACUACUGACUAAGUCUAGUAAGGCUCACGUAUCAUGCCUCCCCUCCCUCAAGGAUCCUUGUCCUCAAGGAUAAAAAUCUGGAUAGGACCUGUUGAAGCGUCAUUCGUUCUCCUAGGUUGCAUCUUCCCUUGGAGCUCCCUUCCACUUGAUUAAAACUUUAGACCUUGGACGGUAUUUCCCUUUUUGAAUAACUCGUCGAUCAAGUACAACUUCAGGUUGUGGUAGUAUAACCAAAUCUUCUGAAACUAGAGGAAGUUGAUUCUGAACUAGAGUAUGUACUGGACCCAAAUGUUUCCGCAACAUGCUAACAUGAAAUACACUGUGAAUUUGAGUUCCCGGAGGGAGAGCUAACCAAUAAGCCACUGGAUCUACUUUUCCCAUAAUCAGAUAAGGGCCAAAGAAACGUGGAGCAAGCUUCAUUGAAGCUCGAAAUGCCACAGAAGUUUGGCGAUAUGGUUGGAGCUUCAGAUAGACAUAAUCACCAAUAUCAAAAGAGACUUCUCAUCGUUUCUGAUAUUCUUGACAUUUCAUUCGCUGACUAGCUAGUGAAAGGUUGUGGCGUAGCACACUUAAGAUGGUGUCACGGUCACGAAGGUAUUCAUCAACUACUUGAAUGUGAGAAGUACCUAGAACAUAAGUUAGAAUGCUUGGUGGAGGAAUUCCAUAGACGGCUUCAAAUGGUGUCAUUUUGGUUGAGGAAUGGAUGAAAGUAUUAUAGCUAAACUCAGCCCAGGGAAUCCACUCGAGUCAUUUUCGCGGUUGAUCACCUGCAAAACAUCGCAAGUUUUGUUCCAAAGUGCGGUUUACUACCUCGGUCUGACCAUCAGUUUGUGGGUGGUAACUUGAGCUCAUGCGAAGCUUGGUUCCUUGUAGCUGGAAUAGUGUUUGCCAAAAAGAACUGAUAAACACUUUAUCUCGAUCACUCACUAUGGAUGUCAGAACACCAUGGAGGUGAACCACGUUGGCUAUAAAUGAUUUAGCAAUAGUGACUGCGGUAUAUGGAUGUCUUAAGGCAACAAAAUGAGCAUAUUUUGUUAAGCGAUCAACAAUUACCAUGAUGACUGUGUGUCCAUUUGACGGUGAUAAUCCUUCGAUAAAAUCCAUUGAUACUUCAGUCCACAUCUAGGUAGGAAUGGGUAAUUGUUGAAGUAAGCCAGCUAGUUUCAUGCAGUCGGUUUUGUACCUUUGACAUACACUGCAUUGUUGUAGAAACUCUUUCACUACUCGACGCAUUGCUAAGGCAUGCGAGAAAGUGUUUUAUGGAAUCCAAAAUGCCCCCUAGUUGGUGAUGAGUGGCAAUCUGCAAUUAUUUGGUGAAUUAAAACUGCAGUGGGACUCAAGUAGACUUUGUUGUUUUUGAACCAAACUUCAUCUCGAAGUGUUAGCUGGUAAGGAGAUUGUGUUUGGCUCAACUUCUUAUAAAAAUGAUCUUUUUGUACUUUCUCUUAUAAUUUUGGCCACCAAUCUGCACGUGGCAUAGAAAUGGAUAAGAACUGAAAUUCAACCACACAAGAAAGGAAGUCAACAGCUUGAUUUUCAGGCCCACGCUUGUACCCAAUUUCAUAGUCAUAUCCAAGGAUCUUUGGGAGCCACCGGGUUUGUGCUGGUGUGGUAAUUCGCUGCUCAAGUAAAUAUUUGAGGCUCCUUUGGUCGGUGCGCACCGUAAAUGGUUUGCCCAGAAGAUAUGGACGCCACUUUUGAAUUGACUUGACAAUUGCAACAUUUCUUUCUCAUAUGUAGAUAACAACAAGGCUGACAUCUUCAAAGCUUCACUAAAGUAAGCUAUGGGCCGAUUAUUUUGAGAAAGGACUGCUCCGAUUCCAAUCCCACUAGCGUCGCAUUCAAUUACGAAUAUUUGAGAAAAAUCUAGAAGGCCUAGGACUGGUGGAGAUGUGAGUGUUUUCUUUAGUCUUCGAAAAGCAAGUUCCGCUGCAUCGUUCCAUUUAAAUCCUUCUUUAGACAAGAGUUGCGUUAAUGGAGCCGCUAUACCUUCAAAAUGACGGAUAAAUUUGAGGUAAUACCCUGCUAGCCCGAGAAACCCAUGCACUCCUUUUGUUGUGGAAGGUGUUGGCCAUUCAAGAACAACUUGUAUUUUUGUUGGGUCUACUACCACUCCAUGUUCGGAAAUGAUGUGUCCCAAAUAGUCCACCUGAGAAACACCAAACCUGUAGUUGGUUGCCUUAGCAAACAAGUGAUUAGUUUUUAAAAUCUUAAGAAUGGUCCGGAGAUGUGAGAGAUGGUCAUCCCAUGUCUUUGAAUAAACUAGAAUGUCAUCAAAGAAUACCAAGAUAAAUUUUCUGAGAUACGUGCGGAAGAGGUCAUUCAUAAGGCUUUGGAAGGUGGAUGGUACAUUGGUAAGGCCAAACGACAUUACAAUGAACUCAUAGUGCCCUUCAUGUGUUCGAAAAACUGUUUUUGAAAUAUAUUCUUCAUAUACCCGAAUCUAAUGGUAUCCGGCCUUCAAAUCUAACUUGAAGAAGAAUUUGGCUCUGUGAAGUUCAUCAAGGAGUUCAUCAAUUACUGGAAUUGGAUAUUUAUCCUUGACUGUGAUGCAGUUCAGUGCUCGAUAGUCAACACAAAAUCGCCAAUCACCAUCCGCCUUCUUGACUAACAAGACAAGUGAUGAAAAUGGACUUUUACUAGGCCUUAUCAAUCCUGAUUGUAGUAGUUCUCGCACCAAUUUCUCAAUUUCUGUUUUCUGGUAGUAUGGGUAACGGCAGGGUCGCACACUCACUGGUUCAAUGUUUGGCUGUAAUGGGAUGCGGUGGUCAUGUGGUCUUUUUGGGGGUAAGCUGGUGGGUAGUUCAAAUACUUUAGAGAAUUCGGUUAAGAGAUGGGUUAUGUUAGGUGACAGAAGACUUGGUUGGGGUACAUUGGAAGAGAGUAAAAUUUGGAAGAGGAAUCCAGUACCUUGAAAAGAAUUAAAUUCUUUAUCAGAUAAGGCUUCUAGAGCAGCAUGCUUCAGACCUUGGAAGAUGCAGGAUUUUUCUCCAAUUUUAUAGGUCAUGGUCAGUUUUUUGUAGUCCAUCUCUAUUGGCCCAAGGGUCUCCAACCAUUGCACACCUAGGACCAAUUGGCAAGCUGAAACAGGAAGCACAUAAUAGUCAGCGGUGAUCGAUUUACCUUGGAUGGAAAUGGUGACAGUUGGACACAAUCCCACGCAUUCUAUUUUUUCUUAGUUGGCAACCAUGACUUGAAAUUUCUUUGCUGGAAUGAUGGGUAAUCCAUGCUUGGUGACUAUGGCCUGAUCAAUAAAAUUGUGGGUGCUCCCACCAUCUAUGAGCACAGUUACAUUUUUGUUUUUGAGUUUGCCUAAUACUUUUAAGGUGAUUGGUUCCAGCGAUUGCAUGAAAGGAGAUUUCAGGCAAGGUUUCUUGGUUAUCAGGUUCUAUUUGGGGUUGUUCAUCCUUGUCAACGUUUGAUUGAUCCAAAUCCUCCAUCAUGAAUAUUUGUGGACGUUCACAUCGAUUACCCGGAACAAACUUAUCAUCACAAUAGUAGCAUAGUCUUUUUUCACGACGCUCUCUCGCCUCUUGGUUAGUUAUUCGUCGGAAGGUGUUUGGGUUAACAUUUGCACUUUGACUUCCACGCUGAUUAGGAGGAGGGCUUAGGACUCCGGAAGUAGAGUUGGGACCUGCUCUUGAUGUUGAAAUCACUGGUUGAGGUCGACUUGGGUAAUUCAGUUUCCUCUGAAGUUGAUUUCCCUCUUCUAUCAGUCGAGCAACUCCUAUAGCGUACGCCAGCACCUUUGGUUGUUUAAUUUUUACAUCUAGGCGAAUGUAGUCUCGAAGACCUGUAAUAAAACAACCAACAAGGAAUGCCUCAGGUAAGCCAUCAACUUGAUGAGACAGUUUUUCAAAAGUUUCAUGAUAGGCUGCCACAGUCGAAGUCUGUCGGAGUCAUGUGAGAGCUUCAGAAGGGUCCUCAUAAUCAGUUGGUCCAAAGCGAAGAAGGACGACUUUGGUGACUUCAUCCUAAUCUUGUGGUCCACGGAAUUUCAUGAACCAUCAGUGCCACUGUAGAGCUAUGCCUUCUAAAUGGAAGGAGGCUAGCUGAACUCGUUGGUCCGUACUGAUGUUUUUAAAUUCAAAAUAUUGCCCUGCUUUGUAAAUCCACCCGAUUGGGUCUUCUCCAUUGAAUUUUGGGAAGUGUAGCUUGAGGUAGGGGUGAGGGUCGUUUGGGGUAUAGGGUUUCACAGUGCUUGAGGGAUGUGAUGUGUCUCCUUGGUAAAAGGGGUUAAUUUCAGGUGGGGUGGCUGGGGUAGUGUGAGAGACUCCCAAGACUUGUAAUUCGGUUAAUACUGAUUGCAGGGCAGCAUUGAUUUGAUCGAAACUGGACUCAUGUCGAGCCAAGGCUUCAUUCACAUCAUUGCGAAAUUCAGCAUUAGUUUUAUCACUAGUGUCCAUUGUCAGAACCUGGCUUUGAUAGCAAAUGAUAAGGUUAAUUUUGAGGAAGAGAAGGUAGAAGAGAAGAAGAUGAUGGAGAAGGAUUUCUGGAUUUUCUGCUAUGCUUUAUUGAUCAUAAUACCGACUAUUUAUAAUAGUCUUACAGUUGGGAAAUAACAACAUGCUGAAGACUAGCUUCGACUAGCUUAUUAAGUGGAGAAUAGUUAACAAACUACUGACUAAGUCUUACAAGGCUCACGUAUCAAGAAGAUGCAGAAACUAACACAGUGAGUGAUAUAUUAUUUGCUCAUCCAAAAUCUAUUCACUUAUUGAAUGUUUAUUCAUAUGUUUUGAUCAUGGAUAGUACUUACAAGACUAACCGAUACUUAAGCCUCUUAUGUACCUAAAGUUAUCAUGUUUACUACUAUAUUUCAAGCUUCAAGUUAGAUCUUUGAAUGCAAUUGACCAAAUUAGGACUAUAUAUCUUUCUUUUUUGGGGGAAUUGUUCAUCAAAGUAUAAUUUUUUUUCCUUUAGGCAUGGGACCAAUGGAAAAACAAUAGAGAACUGUAGUUGAUUGAUCCAGCACUAAAUGAGAUAUCUUCAAGACAUAUUCUGUUAAGGUACAUCAAUGUAGCCCUUCUUUGUGUUCAAGAAAGUACAAAUGAUAGGCCCACCAUGUCCGAUGUUGUCUCCAUGUUUGGCAAGGAAACUGUACUUUUAUCUUCUCCAAAUGAGCCGACCUUCUCAAAUCUAUCGAGUAUGAAACCACAUGCAUCUCAAGAUAGGCUUGAAAUUUGUUCCUGAAAUGAUGUAACACUUUCAAGCGUGGGAGCACGAUAAGUGUUCUAAAUUGCAGAUUGCAUAUGCUUAAAUGUCUUCAGCGUAUUGUCUAGUAUUAUAUCGGCCAUCAAGUUGAUUGUUGAUGUACUGAACGUGUGAACUUUUGUAUGUAUUUUUCUUUCAAUGCAGUUCAAUAAUGUGCUUACUUUUACUCAAUCCUCAAGGAUUCAGACCCGUAUCUCAUCUUCCCAUCUGUAAUUGCUACUGAAUCUGCUUUUAUACAUUGCUAAUCCAGAGUGUAAAAUACAACCCUCAGAGCUCACUUCAAAUAUUCAACUAGUACUAGGAAAGACGAGCUUUUGUGCAUGCUACAACUAAGCAUAAGUACUAAUUAACAUAUAGGCAAGAGGGAAAGUGAGGAAGUAAAGCAGUUGUAAAUUUUUUUGCCUUUUAAGCUGUGAUAUCAUCUAACAUUUUUUUAAGGGAAGAAAUAUUAUAAUUGAAGGUUUAUGUUGAGUACUUGUAAAACCUUCUUUUCUUAUUGGACAUGGUUUCAAUAAAAUCCAUUUGGUUGCCAAGAAAUCUGAGGGAGUUUAGGAUGUGAAUGAGGAAUUUGAAGUCUACCCUCGUCCCUAUAGCUUAAAAUGAAAAGGCAUAGUUACAAACUAAGCUUACAUCGUGGCAUAAACGUUUAUAUUCCUUAGUGGGGCUUGCAGUAGAGAUUGACCCGGAAGCCAACCAAAAAAGACAUGCAUCUAUGGUUCAAAUGAUUUUCUAAACUUAUUAAAUUGAUUUUCAAGAACUUGAUAAAUACCUCAUUUCUGUAAUAAGGUGAUUUCAAACGUUAGAAAACAGUGAAGGAAAAUGUGAAAUCACUCUACCACCAAGCAUAGAUGGACACUCAAGAAUAAAUAGUAGAGUUGGAUUUGAACACAAACCUCUUUUAAAGAAGAGAAUGUAAAGAUGAUUAUGAAAAAUUAGGUGUUGUUUGUUUUUUUAAUUUUUUUUUUAUAGAAAAAAUAUUUUGUUUUAGAUUUCAAAUAGUUUGUUUUUGUACAUUUUGUUAAUAUAUUACUUAUUUCUUAAAUUUUUUUAAUAUAAAAAAAGAUAUUUGACUUUUUCUGGAUGCUAAAAGUAAUUUAUAGGUUUUUUUUUUACUUCUUAAAUAUUUAAUAAAAAUAAAAUAUUUUAAAAAACAACUUCAUAGUUAACGUUAUUAAAUACUAUUUAGUUUUAAAUUCAAAUUAAAAUUAAGAUCUUCACCAUGCAUCUUAAAAUUGAAAAUAUAUAUAUAUAUAUAUAUAUAUAUAUAUAUAUAUAUAUAUAUAUAUAUAACCGGCCCUCACUUUCCUUGAUAUUUCAUUUUGUCUCUCUUCUUUCUCUUUACAUUCAUCAUUGCAGCUGUCGUGGAAGAUAUCCAACUCAUAGAGUUAAUCAAACAUAAAAAAAAAAAAAAAUCCUUUUUUUUUCUUUGAUUUGUUUAUAGAUGAUUUUCUACUUUUAUUUUUAUGGUUAUUGGUUUCUUCGGUCAUGAUUUUUUAUGAUAUAUAAAUCCAUUUUAAAUUUGUUGUUAGAUGGAUUAAUUUUUAAUUUUUAAUCUUAUUUAGACAAUUUAUCUUUAAAUAAUAGAAUUGGCUGUUAGAAUUCUUAUCAUUUUUAUUAAAUUAUAAUUCUAAUUCAAUAAAAUAAAUAUGGUCAAAAAAUUGAAAUUGACCGGAUGCUACUUUAUUAUAAUUGGAGAGGUAUGACACGGAAGAGUUCAUUUAUCAUUUUUCAAAGGGAGAAUUAGCAAAGAUGGUGGGCUCCAUACAACUAAGGUUUGACCCGUUUGUUCAUUUAUCAUUUUUCAAAAGGAGAAUUACCAAAGAUGGUGGGCUCUGAUUGAUAAUGAGUCAUCAACUUGAUAAUCUUUCAUAUGCUUCAAAAUAUAAAAACUCAAACAUACCCUUAUGUCUUUUAUUUUAAAGUCAAACAUAUCCUUACUUGGCCUUUUCCCUAUUUUGUCUUUUCUUCAUUUUAUUUUAUUUUUUAAUUAUUAUUUUUAAAAUAUGAAUAAUAAUCAUAAAAAUAAAUAAUAUUAGUAAGAAUGAUAUUAAUAAAUAACAUGAAUAAUUCAAAAUAUUAAUAUUAUAAAUAAUAAUAUUAACACUAAUAAUAAUAAUGUGUAAAGAAGUAUAAAAGAAAAACAAUAAAAAAAGGUAAAAUUAAAUGAGAAUAAUAGGAAAAAAAAAGGUACAAUUAGAAUUCUAAAAUGAUCAACUUUUCAAAGGUCUUGAUAGGAAUUUAUAAACAUGGUGACCCUUUUGGGUCAUUAUCACGGGUAGCUCACCCUAAAUGAGAAUUCUCCUUUUUUUAAAUUCACGUUGACCUUUUCACUAGAUAAAAUUUAAUAAUUGAAAGAAUACCACAUGCAUUUUUUGUAUGGAAGGAGGUCCCUUAGGAUACAACAUUGUCUAAAAUCAUUUAUAUAACUACUAUUUUUUUUUUUCAAAUAUCUUAUUUAAAAAAAGGAAAAUAUCAAAAAUCCCCCAUUAGGUCAACAUUACUUAUUUGUAUGCUGGCUGGCCAUAAGAUUAUUGAUGGGCUGCUUAAACGCUGCUUAUGAGUAAUGGGUAACAUGAAAAUUUCAACCAGAAGGUGGUCUGCUAAUCUCGUUUUCUUGCUUAUUUCUUCAGGUUUUCACUUGCAAUUUGUUGAUGCCUUUACAGAUACAAUCUUACAAGGUCAAUCACUCACAACCUCUCAGACCAUCAUAUCUGCUGGUGGUAACUUUGAAUUAGGAUUCUUUUCUCCUGGAAAGUCCACAAAAUAUUAUGUGGGGAUAUGGUACAAGAAAUUCUCAGAGCAAACCAUUGUGUGGGUAGCUAACCGAGAUUAUUC